rnacentral:rRNA from 1 species
UUAAAUUGAAGAGUUUGAUCAUGGCUCAGAUUGAACGCUGGCGGCAGGCCUAACACAUGCAAGUCGAACGGUAACAGGAAGCAGCUUGCUGCUUCGCUGACGAGUGGCGGACGGGUGAGUAAUGUCUGGGAAACUGCCUGAUGGAGGGGGAUAACUACUGGAAACGGUGGCUAAUACCGCAUAACGUCGCAAGACCAAAGAGGGGGACCUUCGGGCCUCUUGCCAUCAGAUGUGCCCAGAUGGGAUUAGCUUGUUGGUGAGGUAACGGCUCACCAAGGCGACGAUCCCUAGCUGGUCUGAGAGGAUGACCAGCCACACUGGAACUGAGACACGGUCCAGACUCCUAC